rnacentral:rRNA from 1 species
AUGCGCGGCUCCUUUGAGUUCACGGCCACCUACCCGAUUAGGAGCUGCCUCGGUUGCGGAGGCGGGUGGCUUGUCCUCUCCAUCUGCCUCUACGACGGCCAAAGCCUGCUCACCUUCUUCCACCCAGUCACCGCCACCGAGAUCCUCCUACCACCGCUCAUCUACGACACCCGCUUGCUCUCCAAGAUCGUCUUCACGCCUGACCCUGCUAGGGAUGACUUCGCCGCCGCCACCAUCUGCGACAUCGACAGGCUCGCCUACGUCACCGCGGGGGCCAGGAGGUGGGCCGUCCUUGACCGCGUCCGUCUUGCCACUGGAGACCAGCUCAUCGAUGUCGUCUACCAUCAAAAUGGUCAAAAUGGUAUGGUUUACUACCUCACUCGGUUUGGGAAUGUCUAUGUGCUCUGCCUACCGGAACGCCGCCUCCGGGAACCCGUCAUCAUCGAGGACCAGACAUCAGCAGAGGAUCUUGGAACGUGUAACAUGCGCAUCAUUCGAAUGCACAAUGCCGGACCAGACCUGAACGCGUCGGCUAGCGUGCAACCACUGCUCUCGUCUUCGGUGGGCAAUAUCGCCCCACCAUACUUGCCGGGAGGUGAGCAUCGCCGUAUAGAGGAGGAUGAAAUAUUUGUUCUCAAGUAUGAUCCCCGGCGCAGGCCAUGCUGGGACGCAGUGGCUGACUUGGGGGGAUACUCGAUGUUUGUUGGGAGGAGCAAUGCGGUGUCGAUGCAUGCCGAAGGUGUUCCAGGGCUCAAGGGCAAUUGUGUCUACUGGAUAGGUGGGAGAGGUAGGGAUCAGGGCAUGGUCUUUGACAUGGGGUCUAGGAGGUCUACACCUUGCCUUCCUCCUGCUGUUGGUGUCGUUCCGGGGCCUCAACAGUGCACGAUCUGCUGAGACAUGACCUCCAAGAGUCUUACUAUCCUCCUUAUUUCUGCAUACAAUACCACCAAUGUCAAUUACCAAGAUGACAAUAAGAAAAAAAUUGUUAGCAACCUGCGAGAGGAUUUGGGGAAGCUUCUUGGUGACCACUCGUUAAAGUCCUCCUGCAAUGAUGGCGGCUGGGUGGAGACGAUCUGGAGGAUCUUGUCUAGCAUGGGGCAGCUGCUCUACUCCUCGAUGAGGCGCCGUAUGGCAGCAAGCUCGUUUGAGGCAAUAAGGCUCGGCAGCAUCCCUCAUAUGCCAGCUGGUGCAGAUGCAGCAAAGGGCGGCUUCCACCCGGCACCCGUGGCCGCCAUCACAUCGUACGUCGGCAAAUCUGGCAACCAAAGGCACCAAGGGAACCGAGUAGGGCGAGCACCUCAGGCUGGGUUGUCCAGUGCAAUGGUUGAGAUCCAGACCCCCACCACUGAUUCUACCCCGCCUAGGCCGCCGCCUGCCGCCGCGCUGCCCCAUCGCGUUCGCCUCCGCCCCGACCCCGCCCGCCUCCUCUCCGGCCGCCUCCGCCUCCGGUCCAUCCUCCGCCCGGCCCCGCUCCGUCCGCCUCCCCUCCGGCCCUGCUCCGUCCGCCUCCUCUCCGGUUCGUCCGCCGCACCGCUCCGUCCGCUUCUGCCCCGCGCCGCACGCUGCCGCCCCGCUCCGUCCGCCUCCGCCCCACGCCGCAAGUCGCCUCCCGCUCCCUGCUCGGCCGCCGGCCGCUCCCCGAUGGCGCCGAAGAAGACGCCGAAGGGAAAGUCCGGUUUCUUCGGCAUGAGGGCGAAGCCCUCCGGGAACUUUGGACUGGAGUUCUCCGAUGCCGGGCAGCGUUGGUGGCUCAGCACGUAUCCCACCGCCGAUGAGGCCUCUCGUGCCUACGACGUGGCAGUGUGGCGUGCCGGAUGGCCGAAGACGAACCUAAACUUCCUGGAGGUCCAGUCCCAGGCGGUGGCGGAGUGGCUCGUGCUGCAGGGCAUCCGGAUGGAGGAGAUGCCGACUAAGAAGGCGAAGAAGAGACCCGCGGUCGUUGUCGCUCCCGGCAAGAGCGACGAGGCGGCGAUAGCUUGGCAGCUGGACCCCGGCCUCCGCGGGCAGCUGAUCCGCGCAACGGCGCUCCUGGCUUUCACGGCGGCGCUCUUGGCUUCCAUGGCGGCGAUCGCCAUGUCGCUGCUAGUGCGGUACGACGGGCACCCCAUGUCCCAGGUAUGGAUCAUGGCCGUCACCAUCUGCGCGUACGUGUUCCUCCUCCUGCAGUGCAUCUGGCGCAGCUGGCCGUUCUACACCGACCUGGCCCGCCUCUCCUACGGCCUCCUCCUCGCCGCUGUCGCUGCCGCUCACGUGGGCCCGCACGCCGCCGUCUUGGCCCUCCACCUCAGCACCGUCUACGCCGCCGCGUACCUCGGCUACGCCCUCGCCCUGCACCGCCUCCGCGCCGGGACAGAGCGGGCCGUCGGGCGGCCCGUGCCCCACCCCGGCGGCCCCGAGGCCCAGUACUCCAACGGCAUGAUCGCGAUCGGGGCCACCACGCUCUCGGCGACGGCAAUCUCGCUGGCGACUGAGGCGGUUAUCUUCCAUGGGCGGCGCGACGAGCUGGUGGCCGUCGCGCUCCUCUCGUCCAUGGGUUGCAUGUACGCUCCAGUGUUGAAUGUUUUCGUGGCCAACGAUCUCAUGGGCGGAGCUCUGUUGCAAGGAUGGAUGAUGUGCCUUCUCCUGGCGUGCGUCCUGCUUUCUUUAUUUCUCUUUGUGUCCAUCUCGGGUUCGCCCUCCAUGGUGGCAGGUGCCGUCGCCCCGGCGCUCUGUGUGUGGCUGCUCAUGAUGGCACUCGUCGCCUUCCUCGCCUACAAUCUUGCCCUCUGCAUAACCUACCUGCACACUGCUGCUGCUGCUGCUGCUUCUGCUUCUGCUUCUGCUGCUGUGGACAAUGAGAUCGUUGACCAGCACGGCCAGAAAUGA